CUCUUCUAAUAUCUACAACAAAAUUGGCAACAUGGCUGUGACAUAUUCUUUAUUUAAGUUUGUUAUCCUCUUCACCAUUCUCCUUACAGCAACUGCUGUUGAUUUGUCUCGAAACUCAAUGAUGACGAUGGGAGGCUUGCCACUAUCUAUAUCAAUGAUGAAAUUGAAAUUAAAUCAAAAUGAAGAGGAGACUUGUGGGAGAAAAUGCAGUUCUCACGCAGAAUGCUCUGAUGGAUGGAUAUGCAGGUGGUGUUGGUGGCAUUAUCAGUUGAACUAUGAUCGAUAUGAUUAUCAUUGUAGCAUGUUACCAAACUGAAGAACAUCGCGAGGAGUUUAAGAAUAUGGUCCAUGAGUUAAUACCUAAGAAUGACAUGCUGGAAGCACAGAGAACGUUCGUUUGCUGAUAUUAUUAUUAGUAUUUCGAUAAGUACUACUUUAAUUAGAUCCUUGUAUAUGCAUGAACUAAGAGUGCUAACAAAAUUAUGUACUACUUCAAAUAGUCAUUUUGCAUGUGCUAUUAGAGUAAGAGUGCUAAAUAUACUUCAAA